GACGAACGCUGGCGGCGUGCCUAAUACAUGCAAGUCGAGCGAAUCUCAGGGAGCUUGCUCCCUGAGAUUAGCGGCGGACGGGUGAGUAACACGUGGGUAACCUGCCUGUAAGACUGGGAUAACUUCGGGAAACCGGAGCUAAUACCGGAUACUUUCUUUUCUCGCAUGAGGGAAGAUGGAAAGAGGGUUCUGCUAUCACUUACAGAUGGACCCGCGGCGCAUUAGCUAGUUGGUGAGGUAACGGCUCACCAAGGCAACGAUGCGUAGCCGACCUGAGAGGGUGGUCGGCCCAGCUGGGACUGAGACACGGCCCAGACUCCUACGGGAGGCAGCAGUAGGGAAUCUUCCGCAAUGGACGAAAGUCUGACGGAGCAACGCCGCGUGAGCGAAGAAGGCCUUCGGGUCGUAAAGCUCUGUUGUUAGGGAAGAACAAGUACGAGAGUAACUGCUCGUACCUUGACGGUACCUAACCAGAAAGCCACGGCUAACUACGUGCCAGCCGCCGCAGUAAGAC
rnacentral:rRNA from 1 species